CGGCUGGCCUGAGACGCAGGCUGUCCCUUUUCCACAUGUGGCAGCUAAUUGUAGGGAUUUGUGAGUGAGAUUGAACAUCGGAAAAUGUUCAGAACUGAGUCGAGUGGAAGCUGCGUGUGCCUGGAUCCCGAAGAAGCAGUCUUGGGAAUGGUUCGGGAGAAGGCAGGCAGAUCGUCGCUCUAACGCCUACCUUCUAACAUGCUGCCCCACACAUUGGAUCUGGGGCGAGGAUAUCACCUCAGUUUGAGGAAUCGUCCAGGAAGAGGCAAACAUCUGAAUCCUGAUUCCUCGCAAGCGACCUCGCGACCCAAGUAUCUGCAAUGCACAAGUGGCUCUUCAGUGCUUUCGCAAAACUCCGUCGUCUGACUUCUCAGCGGAGGGCCAGCAUGUCUCCAUCGCCUGCGUGUUACGGCAGCUACCUCGACAUAUCUCCAUCAUGUUUACAAUGCCCGAAUGUCUCUCAAAAUACUCUCGGAAUUUCCAAAGAAUUGAGAUGCUUUUUACAGUUUCAUGCUCUGUGUUCUGAAGUUAUUGCUACCGCUUCAGAGCAUGGACAUGUUUUAUGUUAGUGAAUGCAGGUCUUGGUACCAGUUAGUUCAAAGGAAGUUUAAUGGUAUUCUUGUGUAUCAUGAGUCCAAAUAUUUAAAGACAGCACACUUAUGGGCACCUAAAUUUUCUGUUAAAAAGGCUUAUUAUGUAUCAGUCGAUGUCCUCUGAAUAUCCGCCCUUGUCUUCUGCACAGUGCCACAGUAAUUCAUUAUUCAUACAUUUAAACCAUUCAAAACGCCCACGUGAUCUCGCCCACUCCGACAGAACUUGCUUGCUUAAAUGAUGAUCACCAGUUCCUUAGUCAUUACAUCAAAUCCGAAGACCUCUUCAAGUAAAAAAUGAAGUGGAUGUUUGUUACAACCACUUCGCAGACCAGGGAGUUGAAUUCAGAGGUGGAUGUUUGUUACAACCACCUCAACGCGAGCUGGAUUCCCGAGUGGAUGCGUGUUGCAGUCGCCUCUAUGUGAGCUGAAUUUUGAGGUGGCUGUGUACUACAGCAACUUCAGGGACCGGUGAGCUGAAUUCUGAAGUGGAUGUUUGUUACAACCACUUCGCAAACUCCUUGGGCUGAGCUUUGAAGAGGAUGUUUGUGUCACCCGCUUUAAAAGCCCUUUGAGGGGAAUUCUGACGGAUAAUUUCAACAACCGAUUCAGAGAAUAUUCACAGGAAGAGAUUUUGAGCGCUAAAUUUGAAAAUGGUUAUUUGUUACCAGCAUUUGUUCGCUACUACCUUACUUGAUUCUGUAGUGAAUACCUACUAUAACCAUUUUGAAACGCCAACCUCCCCCCCCCCCCCAGCCUCCAAUUCACACACCCCUUCGGUGAAAUAGUGAAUGAAUGUUAUUACAGCCUCAUCCUAUUCCCCCAGGCCCGAGAGCCACGGAAUGGGUGAAAUAUAUUAGAAACACCUCAUCAAGUUCCUCCUCCCUCUUCUUGUCCCAGGAUGUUGAAAUGGAUCUUUAUCACUCCUUUUCCUCUUCCCUCCUUCCGCACAUCGACUUGGGGAGAUCAAUUCGAAACAUCCUUUCAGCGUCUCACUUUCUCUCCGUGUCUCAGAACUGGAGAAUGAUUGUUUAUGACUAGUAAUUUUCCUUCUCGUUUGUUCUCGUCGAGGACACUCUGCUUAUGGACUCUUUAUGAUGAUACUUUCACACUCGGCCACACACUUGUCGGCGAUAAGAAUCGGCUCAUCCUUUUUUUUUUGAAGAUUUAUUUAGAUUUCUGUCAACUUUCAUUGCUGUUUGAUAUCCAUUCCUGGCAAAAUAAAAACUUUAAAUGAC